UACGUAGGGUGCAAGCGUUAAUCGGAAUUACUGGGCGUAAAGCGUGCGCAGGCGGUUAUGCAAGACAGAUGUGAAAUCCCCGGGCUCAACCUGGGAACUGCAUUUGUGACUGCAUGGCUAGAGUACGGUAGAGGGGGAUGGAAUUCCGCGUGUAGCAGUGAAAUGCGUAGAUAUGCGGAGGAACACCGAUGGCGAAGGCAAUCCCCUGGACCUGUACUGACGCUCAUGCACGAAAGCGUGGGGGAGCAAACAGG
rnacentral:rRNA from 1 species